ACCCAUUAUUUUGCCAAAUAACCCUUAGUAACUUAAAUGACUAUAUAAAUAGAAGUCUUUGCCCAUUCCUUUCAUUCCUACCAAACUAAAAGCAAGAGAAGGGAAAAGGAGAAGAAGAAGAAGAAGAAGAAGGAAAAGAGCAAAGGAAGAGGAAGAAGAGAGGUGCAAGGGGGGCACCUACCCAUCUAAGGAGUAGAACCAAGAGGUGACAAGACAAUGCAGCGCAAGGCCAUCGGCUGUCCAUCAUCCCCUAACACUCGAGAUGUUGAUUCAGGUAACCACCUGGAGUAUGUAGCUGAGGAGCCGACUCUCUACGGAGGUGACCUCUGGGAUGAGGAGUUAGAUGCCCAUGAGGACGGUUGCGUAUGUGACGACUGUGCAUUCAGAGCAUGCUAAAGAUGAGAGUAUCAUCUUCCUUUUGACCCUUUUGUUUUACACAUCAGAAGUAGCCCUAGCGGCAUAACCGUAAUUAUGACUUCUGUUGUAAAAACUCUUUUAGUAAAUAUGAUCAAUAUCAUUAGACUUCAGUAGUUAUAUAUACUUGACUAUUAUUAUUAUCUUGUAAUCGUAGAAUCAUUUCAUAGAUUUAUGCACUUAAAGUA